UCAGGCCUAACACAUGCAAGUCGAGCGGCAGCACGGGGAGCUUGCUCCCUGGUGGCGACGGCGGACGGGUGAGUAAUGCAUAGGAAUCUGCCCGGUAGUGGGGGAUAACCUGGGGAAACCCAGGCUAAUACCGCAUACGUCCUACGGGAGAAAGCAGGGGACCUUCGGGCCUUGCGCUAUCGGAUGAGCCUAUGUCGGAUUAGCUGGUUGGUGAGGUAAUGGCUCACCAAGGCGACGAUCCGUAGCUGGUCUGAGAGGAUGAUCAGCCACAUCGGGACUGAGACACGGCCCGAACUCCUACGGGAGGCAGCAGUGGGGAAUAUUGGACAAUGGGCGCAAGCCUGAUCCAGCCAUGCCGCGUGUGUGAAGAAGGCCCUCGGGUUGUAAAGCACUUUCAGUGGGGAAGAAAGCCUUCCGGUUAAUACCCGGGAGGAGGGACCACCCAG
rnacentral:rRNA from 1 species